rnacentral:rRNA from 1 species
UUUCUCAUUAUAAUUUGAGUUGGGAAAGUUUUUCGCUAAGAGAUCGGUCUAUAUCCCAUCAGGUAGUUGGUAGUGUAAGAGACUACCAAGCCAAUGACGGGUAGCGGGUUUGAGAGGAUGAUCCGCCACACUGGUACUGAGACACGGACCAGACUCCUACGGGAGGCAGCAGUGAGGAAUAUUGCACAAUGGAGGAAACUCUGAUGCAGCAACGCCGCGUGGAGGAUGACGCAUUUCGGUGUGUAAACUCCUUUUAUAGGUCAAGAAAAUGACGGUAGCCUAUGAAUAAGCACCGGCUAACUCCGUGCCAGCAGCCGCGGUAAUACGGAGGGUGCAAGCGUUAUUCGGAAUCACUGGGCGUAAAGGACACGUAGGCGGGAAGCCAAGUCUGAUGUGAAAUCCUAUGGCUCAACCAUAGAACUGCAUUGGAAACUGGUUACCUAGAGUAUGGGAGGG